GUUGAACGCUGGCGGAAUGCUUUACACAUGCAAGUCGAACGGCAGCACGGGGGCAACCCUGGUGGCGAGUGGAGAACGGGGGAGUAAUACAUCGGAACGUGCCCGGUCGUGGGGGAUAACGUAGCGAAAGUUACGCUAAUACCGCAUACGAUCUGAGGAUGAAAGCGGGGACCUUCGGGCCUCGCGCGAUCGGCGCGGCCGAUGUCGGAUGAGGUAGUUGGUGGGGUAAAGGCCUACCAAGCCGACGAUCGGUAGCGGGUCUGAGAGGACGACCAGCCACACUGGGAGUGAGACACGGCCCAGACUCCUGAGGGAGGCAGCAGUGGGGAAUCUUGGACAAUGGGCGCAAGCCUGAUCCAGCCAUACCGCGUGCAGGACGAAGGCGUUCGGGUUGUAAACUGCUUUUGUAUGGAGCGAAAAGGCUCUGGCUAAUACCUGGGGAUCAUGACGGUACCGGAAGAAUAAGCACCGGCUAACUACGUG
rnacentral:rRNA from 1 species